rnacentral:rRNA from 1 species
GAUGAACGCUGGCGGCGUGCCUAAUACAUGCAAGUCGAGCGAACAGACGAGGAGCUUGCUCCUCUGACGUUAGCGGCGGACGGGUGAGUAACACGUGGAUAACCUACCUAUAAGACUGGGAUAACUUCGGGAAACCGGAGCUAAUACCGGAUAAUAUAUUGAACCGCAUGGUUCAUUAGUGAAAGACGGUUUUGCUGUCACUUAUAGAUGGAUCCGCGCCGCAUUAGCUAGUUGGUAAGGUAACGGCUUACCAAGGCGACGAUGCGUAGCCGACCUGAGAGGGUGAUCGGCCACACUGGAACUGAGAGACGGUCCAGACUCCUACGGGAGGCAGCAGUAGGGAAUCUUCCGCAAUGGGCGAAAGCCUGACGGAGCAACGCCGCGUGAGUGAUGAAGGUCUUCGGAUCGUAAAACUCUGUUAUUAGGGAAGAACAAAUGUGUAAGUAACUAUGCACGUCUUGACGGUACCUAGUCAGAAAGCCACGGCUAACUACGUG